UUUAAUUAAAAAUCUUAUCAAAUAAAAAGAACAAAGAUGAUAUGCUACAAAACACAUUUAAUACUUUGCUAAUCCAGUAACUAAUCAACAAGAAAGCUUAACAACCAAAUGAAACCCAUCAAAAAGCCUAAGGAAUCACACCAAUAAUGUAAGAAAAGAAAUGGACCUUAGAAUAGAAGAAUCGGAUUUCCUUGAAAGCUUUUAAUAUGUAUAUGACUUCCCAGCAGAAACCAAAUAGAGUUGACGAAUUCGAAGCUGAAUCGCGGACAGAUUGAUCUCGCCGAACCAAACUCGGACUCACCUCAACAACAUCUCAGUCAAACUCCAUAUUCGAGAAUCAAAACUCAAAUCGAAAAGAAGAAAUAGAAAUCUCGUUUUCUGUUUUUACUGAAACAAUUCCAUUCUCCUCUCUUUUGCUCGUGACCUCCUCUGUUCUUGCCCCUUUUUUUCUCUUUUCUCUACAGUGUUGUGAUCUAUUUUGGACUCCUUUGGUUUUGUUGGAAACAGAAAAGAAAAAGAAAAAAAUGGUGGAAAAGGGAUGAAUGAGCGGCGUUGGGGAUUUCCGCUAUUACUAAUGCUAUCUUGUCCUCCUUGUCACUGGCAGAAAUGGGGCAUCGUUCCCCUUUUUGAUCUGUAUGUUGGUGUGUUGCUGUUUUUGGUUCUUUUUCGUCGGACUGAGUGGUCACUAUUUCUAUGUGUGGUGAAGGGAGGAAGAAAGAGUCCUCGUAGGGGGGGGGAGGGGGAGAGGGGAAGAGGUGCCGCUAUGUAUAUGUGUAGGGUGGUCUUGAAGUGUGUAAGGGGGGGAGGGGGAAGAGGUGCCGCUAUGUAUAUGUGUAGGGUG
rnacentral:lncRNA from 1 species